UAGGGAAUCUUCGGCCAAUGGACGAAAAGUCUGACCGAGCAACGCCGCGUGAGUGAAGAAGGUUUUCGGAUCGUAAAACUCUGUUGGUAGAGAAGAACGUUGGUGAGAGUGGAAAGCUCAUCAAGUGACGGUAACUACCCAGAAAGGGACGGCUAACUACGUGCCAG
rnacentral:rRNA from 1 species